GUACUGGGAGUGGGACUGGUUUAAAGGCUGGAGUCCAUGGAGUAGAACCUAUAAUGUCCUGGAACAGUGGGUUUGGCAACGGCAAAAGAGGGAUCAAGUCAGGAGCAGGUUGGGAAGCCUUGGAGGAGGAGGAGGAGUUCUCUGGGUGUCCUUGAUGGAGGCCCCCCAGCCCCAUCCUGCUGUCCACAGGGCCUGGCCCCAGCUGAGAUCUCUGCAGUCUGUGAAAAAGGGAAUUUCAACGUGGCCCAUGGGCUGGCAUGGUCAUAUUACAUCGGAUAUCUGCGGCUGAUCCUGCCAGAGCUCCAGGCCCGGAUUCGAACUUACAAUCAGCAUUACAACAACCUGCUACGGGGUGCAGUGAGCCAGCGGCUGUAUAUUCUCCUCCCAUUGGACUGUGGGGUGCCUGAUAACCUGAGUAUGGCUGACCCCAACAUUCGCUUCCUGGAUAAACUGCCCCAGCAGACCGCUGACCGUGCUGGCAUCAAGGAUCGGGUUUACAGCAACAGCAUCUAUGAGCUUCUGGAGAACGGGCAGCGGGCAGGCACCUGUGUCCUGGAGUACGCCACCCCC
rnacentral:sRNA from 1 species